rnacentral:snRNA from 1 species
UUAGCUCUCUUUGCCUUUUGGCUUAGAUCAAGUGUAGUAUCUGUUCUUUUCAGUUUAAUCUCUGAAACGAGUCCAUAGGACUCAAUUCGUGAUUAUACUUAUUUUUGUAACCCGCCGAUGGGCCUCUGUGCUUGCGCAUGCCCUUCGGCACAGUGUCACCGGUAUUACACUGCCUCCGGUAGACGCGAAGUCUU